rnacentral:snRNA from 1 species
AUGGAUUUAAAUAAAAAAAAAAAAAAAAAAAACUAGUUCUUAUUCUUAUCAGUUUAAUAUCUGAUACGUCCCCCUACCCGGGGGGCUACAUAUUAAAUUGAUUUCGGGGCUUGCUCUGUUCACUCCACGCAUCGGACUGGUAUUGCAGCGUCUCCAGGCGCGGUGUGCUUCCC